GGCAACAUGGCCGAGUGGUCUAAGGCGCUGGAAUUAGGUAAUAAAUCCAGUCUUUCGAGGCGUGGGUUCGAACCCCACUGUUGUCA